rnacentral:rRNA from 1 species
UUAUAAGAGACAGCAGUAGCCGCGGUAAUACGUAGGUGGCAAGCGUUGUCCGGAAUUAUUGGGCGUAAAGGGCUCGCAGGCGGUCUCUUAAGUCUGAUGUGAAAGCCCCCGGCUCAACCGGGGAGGGUCAUUGGAAACUGGGAAACUUGAGUGCAGAAGAGGAGAGUGGAAUUCCACGUGUAGCGGUGAAAUGCGUAGAGAUGUGGAGGAACACCAGUGGCGAAGGCGACUCUCUGGUCUGUAACUGACGCUGAGGAGCGAAAGCGUGGGGAGCGAACAGGAUUAGAUACCCGUGUAGUCCCUGUCUCUUAUAC